UAGUUAAGACAAGGGAGAUAGUUCAUGGAUAGGACCAUGUUUUUAUCCAGUGUUCAGAGCCGUGAGUUAAACAAUAACAGAUUAGUUAAAUUAUGGAAAAGCAAUACAAUGGAAUACUAUGAGAUCAAAAAUGUAAUUACAAAUAUGUUCAUGAUUAAUUUCAGGUAUGAAAAGCAGUUUACCAGACUGCAUGUGGCAGAUACUCCUUUCGAAAAUUGUAAUAUAAGGAUAGUGAAAAAGAAGGGCAGAGAUAAAUGAAUACAACUAGUUCAGAAAAUUAUACCCUCAAAUUUCAACUGUAAUUAUCUCUGGAUUGUGGAAUUGUGAGUAAUGUUUGAUUUAUUCUUUUUAUUAUAAGUGCUUUCACAUUUGUCGACAAUCACCAUAUAUUUCCUUCCUUCCUUUCUUUCUUUCUUUCUUUCCUUCCUUCUUUCUUUCUUUCUUUUCUUUCUGGGUCUUGCUUUGUCACCCAUGCUGGAGGGGCAGUGGUGCAAUCAUAAGCCCAUAGCUCACUGCAGCCUCAAACUCCUGAGCUCCAGCGAUCCUCCCACCUCAUCCUCCUGAGCAGCCAGGACUACAGGUGCAUGCCACCAUGCCUGGCUAAGUUUUUAAUUUUUUGUAGAGAUGGAGUCUCACUAUGUUGACCAGGUUGGUCUCAAACUCCUGAUCUCAAGCCAUCCUCCUGCCAUGGCUUCCCAAAGUGCUGGGAUUACAGGCAUGAGCCAUUGUGCCCCACCCGACAAUCACCAUUUAUUUCUAUAGAAUUAGGGGUUUUUAAAAAAGUCAUUUGUUAAAUGGAAUUUUUCAACUUAGGAAGAGAAAUUUUAUUUUACAUUCAAAAUGUGCAUAUUUGCAUUCAAAACACAUAGAAGUGAAAUGGCCAUUUCAUCAUUUUCCGGAUUUCUCUUUGGCAGAUCAAGGAUUCUGAGGAAGUAGAGAUGGUAUGGAAGAAAGAUACCCUGAGAGAAGCUGGCUUUGCACCAGCUCGGUCCUCUUCCUUCCUUUCUUGCAUAAGCAAACACUCAC
rnacentral:lncRNA from 1 species